rnacentral:miRNA from 1 species
GCAGACACAUUCCAGCCAAUCAGCAGCAGACCCUCCCUCCCAGACCCUCCCACCUCCUGGACAGCAUCCAUUUUACAUUCAUUGUGAAGCUGCAUUCUUAGUGAGCUGUCCAGGAGGUGGGAGGGUCUGGGAGGGAGGGUCUGCUGCUGAUUGGUUGGAAUGUGUCUG